CAAAAAAAAACCCUCAAACCGGCUCUCGCCCUCUCUCUCAUCCUUCGCCUCUCUUCACCGUAAACCACCUGCUGGAAAUCGCCUCCGCCGGCCGAAGAUAUCCAAAUACCCUAAAAUCACCAUUUUCCUUCUCCUCUCCUCCUCCUCCUCUAUUUCAUCCCAUCAAGAUCGAAACCCCAAUUUCCACCCUAUCACACCCCAUCAAAACCCUAGCCGCUACCUAGCCCUUUUCAACUUCCCGUUCGAUUCACUGGCUAUAACCGGCCGGAAUCAACAUCAUUCGAUAAAUCUUGAUCGAGUGAUGUCAAUUCCAAUGUGUUUCAUUUAAGUUUCAUGCCGGGCAUCAGUCCCAGUUUAACUCGAGGUUUUGAGUAGGUAUCGUCCGGUUCCACCUUCUUCUAAUUUCUUCCUUCUAUUCCCAUCACUCCAGUCGUGUGUGUAGGUUAAUUUUCUUAUUUUCAGCACAUUAUUGGAUAUGCUUACAUGUUAGUAGUUCUCUUUUCUGUGUGGUAGUGUAUCACUCCCAUGUUUAGUUUUGAAUUGAUUGUUAGUUUGUUAGGUUUUGAAUUCCGAUAUUGUUUGUUGUGCAUGUUUAGUCUUUAAGAGUUUUCUUUUUUGGCAAUCCACUAGGCAAAUACCUAGGGCUAUAUUUUAUAUAUAAAAAAGGAAAAAUAAGAAAACGGAGUAAUGUAGUGUCUUACAAUAUGUUGAGCCAUAACCUAUGUGAAUUACAUAGUCCCUAGUACCAAAGAUGAGCACUGGAUACUAAACUAUGGUAGUACUUUUUGAACUAAUUAAGAAAUGAUAAUGAUAAUGAAAUCUUCUUAUGUAGUAAUAAUUAGAUUUAUAAACUAGCCAUAUGAGUGCAGCGAUAACAUCAAUUAUCCAUAGUGCGCAGCUCUGUCGCGUGGGAAUUCUUCCUUGCCUAGUGUAAGCAUAUUGUUGCGCUAGUAGUAUGCAACCUUGUAUUGAUGAGAUCACGAUUCUUCGCUUAACAUGUCCUCCCUGUAUCCAGCAAUUAAUGUUCAUGGUGACAAUGCCUUCUUGCGUCCAGAAUUCGCUCAUGAUCCUUGCCUUUGAGUGUUGAUCCCCUUCCAGAACACCUUCCUUAUGUGUCAUAGGUGUUGUUGAUAAUAAGCAGCUCCUUGUUGUCCAGUUCUUGUACCCCAUAUAAUCCAUUGAAACAUAGUGCCUCGUCUAUAUGAAUCUGGGCAGUGCUAUGAUUAUGGUGUCUUGUGUCCAGAAUUUUAUCACGAAACUUGCCUUUAAGUGUGAAUCCUCUCCCAGAGCAUCUUCCUUGCAUGUCAUUAGUGUUGUUGACGUAAAGCAGCUCGUUGAUGUCCAACUCAUGUAACCUGUGCAAUCCAUUGAAAUACACUGCCUCGUCCAUGGAAAUCUGAGCAGUGUUUGCUUCUUGUGUUUGUUUCUAUCCUUAGCCGAUUGUAUUUUACAAGUGUUUGCUAGGUUGUUUACGUUACCUGACCUAAUAGAACUAAGCCAAAGUUCUCCAUUAAAGUCGUAACAACCCAGCUGCUCUAUUCGAUUCUCCAGCAUCAUACUUAUGCCUACCCCUACUUCCCUCCCAUUGGAAUGAGUACAUAGUACUAAUACACCAAAUGGGAGUUGUUCAAGGUAUAAGGCAUGAUUAGAAUAGUGUUUCCUGGAAAAAAAAGACUAGGUUAGUAAAAAAUAUGGUUACCAUACUCUCCUCCAUAAGGACUUGAGUAUGAUGAUCCAAAUUAUUUCCAGCAUUCCCCUUUCUCCUGCUACUCCUUUCCUCCUCACCUCCUAACUUCUUGCGACAUUUACUCUUAGAUAUGGGCAUUGUAACUUAUCACUAUUCACAAUACUUCUCCCUUUGACAUCCAACUCUCCAAAACUGUUGCAUUCCAUAGGAUCAGUAUCUAGAGCAAAGUUGGCAAUGUGAUCUGCCUACUGGUUAAGUUGGGCAGUAUCUUUAAGAGUUUUUGAUUUUGUUUUUAACAGUUUAAUUGUUGUCUAAAUACUAGCUUAAUUACUUGUUUAAUUCAUAAAUCCUAUUUCAUAAUUAGGGUAGUUUAGUUUGGGACUGUUAGGGAGUUAAUGGAAAGAAAAGAAAGAGAGAGUAAAAACAGGGGCAAAGAGUGUAAUUAACAGGUUUUUAAAGGGUGUGUUGGGAAUUAAUUCAGGGAAUAUAUUUUCAGAAGCUUCUGGGAUUGUGUAGAAAAAGGGUCAAUUUGCAAAAAAAGGAAGUAUAGUACAUGCUAAGUAUUUGGGGGUGAGGGGGUAAAUAAUUAAAAGAGGAGGGAUGUAAAAGAAGGAAAAUAACUGAAAAGGAAUAUAUGCAUUUUUUAUAUAACAGACCCAUUCUGCACUCAUCUGGGAACACCUUCACUGCCAAUUCAUUCUCAUCUACACUCGCUCAUACACUCUCUCUCGUCUGCACCAAUUCACUCUCUUUCUCUCACCUUCACACACGGAAAACACAUUAGUAGCUAGAAUUUCUGGAAAUUCAAAAAUUCCAAAUCUGUAGAAAAACCAAAAGCUCCAAAAAACACAAAAGAAAAAUCUCAAAGUGAUUUCGAGGUCUAUUAGAAUAGUUCAAUAAUUUCAGGGUUUUCAAGUUGCUGUUGGAUUAACAAUUGAAACUGUUGAUGUACUUCUGCUGUUUUGCUGUCCAUUUGUAGCUGAAUUUUAUCAUUUCUUCUUUUCAGACAUUUAUUUGGUCUUCGAUUGUUGUUUAGCUUCAUUCCUCGUCUAAAACAAUGACUCAUGUCUAAAGUGAUCUCAACGGGUUAAACUAAUUUCAAUUAUUGUUUACCUGUUGGAUUAUUGUUGGUUGCUUCUUUGCAAGCUGAAGAUCUGUUGGAGAAAUGAAUACCCAUGGCCAAGGAAAGCUAUUUUCAUUGGAAUAUUAGUGCAAUCGAAUCACGGAUUUAAAUUAGCUAGUUGAGAUCAUGUACUUCAUGUUCUAAUUAGUGACAUGUAUAAUCAAUUUUAAAUUCUUUACUAAUGUAAUUAACUCUAUCUUCUAUUAGGAUUUGUGUUGUAAUAUGAUCAAUUUUGUGCUGCUGA